UGGGGAAUAUUGGACAAUGGGGGCAACCCUGAUCCAGCAAUGCCGCGUGUGUGAAGAAGGUCUUCGGAUUGUAAAGCACUUUCGACGGGGACGAUGAUGACGGUACCCGUAGAAGAAGCCCCGGCUAACUUCGUGCCAGCAGCCGCGGUAAUACGAAGGGGGCUAGCGUUGCUCGGAAUGACUGGGCGUAAAGGGCGUGUAGGCGGUUUACACAGUCAGAUGUGAAAUCCCCGGGCUUAACCUGGGAGCUGCAUUUGAUACGUGUAGACUAGAGUGUGAGAGAGGGUUGUGGAAUUCCCAGUGUAGAGGUGAAAUUCGUAGAUAUUGGGAAGAACACCGGUGGCGAAGGCGGCAACCUGGCUCAUGACUGACGCUGAGGCGCGAAAGCGUGGGGAGCAAACAGGUUAGAUACCCUGGUAGUCCACGCUGUAAACGAUGUGUGCUAGAUGUUGGGUAACUUUGUUAUUCAGUGUCGCAGUUAACGCGUUAAGCACACCGCCUGGGGAGUACGGCCGCAAGGU
rnacentral:rRNA from 1 species